ensembl:lncRNA
CAGUGCUGGGGUACACUUGGACUCGAUGAUCUUAGAGGGCUUUUCCAACCUGAAUAAUUCUGUGAUUUCUUCUAGAAUUUUAUUUCUGUAUGAAGUCUCCUCUGAUAAAUAUCCCCAACAGUGAUUUCAGACAAACACCCUAAAAUGGCUACAUCAGUGUUCCUCCUGCAGAGCAGUCAGAAGAGACACUCACAAAUAUACCCAGGAAAUGCACCUUGCUCUUCUCUUCCUGUCUUCUACUGUGGGACCGUCAUUUUAUCCACGUGUGGGAAUUUCCAUUACUGCUGGGGGAAAGGGACUUCUCCUCCUGAGUGA